rnacentral:tmRNA from 1 species
GGGGCCGACCUUGGAUUUGACAGCGAUAGCGGUAGUCAAGUGUCAGCAUGCAGAGGGUUGUGAUGAACCUCUUAAAUAUCUUGUCUCGAACAAUAAUUGACAAUACGUCAUACGCACUUGCUGCUUAAUUAGCUGAAUGUUAAUUGGCUUAAUCCGACUGAAGCACAGUAGGUUGGACAAGUACUUUCGGUAGAUCGUCGCCUAAUCGAUUUACCACUCGAAAGUUCAUCCCAUUGGGCUAGUGUUUGCGAUGGUACUAAGCAAAUGCGAAAUUCAGUACCUAAGUUCAGGUUUUGGGUGUUCUUGUCCGUGCCUGGAUCGAAAAAUAACCGAGGAAUAAGCAUGUAGAAAGCUUGAAAACUCGUCGUUUGGACGAGGGUUCGAACCCCUCCGGCUCCACCU